GAUGAACGCUGGCGGCGUGCCUAAUACAUGCAAGUCGAGCGAACAGACGAGGAGCUUGCUCCUCUGACGUUAGCGGCGGACGGGUGAGUAACACGUGGAUAACCUACCUAUAAGACUGGGAUAACUUCGGGAAACCGGAGCUAAUACCGGAUAAUAUAUUGAACCGCAUGGUUCAAUAGUGAAAGACGGUUUUGCUGUCACUUAUAGAUGGAUCCGCGCCGCAUUAGCUAGUUGGUAAGGUAACGGCUUACCAAGGCAACGAUGCGUAGCCGACCUGAGAGGGUGAUCGGCCACACUGGAACUGAGACACGGUCCAGACUCCUACGGGAGGCAGCAGUAGGGAAUCUUCCGCAAUGGGCGAAAGCCUGACGGAGCAACGUCGCGUGAAUGAUGAAGGUCUUCGGAUCGUAAAACUCUGUUAUUAGGGAAGAACAAAUGUGUAAGUAACUAUGCACGUCUUGACGGUACCUAAUCAGAAAGCCACGGCUAACUACGUG
rnacentral:rRNA from 1 species